CUGCAAGGGUAUAAAAACUAUCGCGAUUUCGAUAUUUGGGUAAAAAAAAAUAACGAUAUAAACAUAUGAUUUAAAAAAUAUAUAUCGAUAUAGGAUCGAUCAACAACCCUACAAUAUUUUCGUCACUUGUAUUUUUGUUGUAUUUAUGGGUGCUUGGAUCUCAGUGAGCCAUCCCAUUUGGCACAUAGACUCCUAAAGAUCAACUCGACUAUAUAGCCGUCCGCUCAUUUUUUUGUUGUAUUUCAAUAAAUUGCUCAUUAAAUAAUUUAUCAGAACAUUAUUAAUGGUUUAAGUUUGACUCCAAAGGGUUUGGGUCCACAGCUUAACAAAGCGCAGGCUAAUAACGAGGCAGUAAUGGGCGAAGGCUCUAGCUACUUCGGGAGAACUAAUUGUGGAAUUACGAUUAGGACAUUUCUAUGCUGGAAAAAGUCCCAACAUCCUGCCGCCGUUGAAAGUUCCGCUUUUAUCAAAACUUUGAAGGAAGAUGGAACAGAUCGAUCAGGGUCCUAGACCAGAGAUGAUUGCAUGAGGAAUGGCAGGUUCAUGAGGCCUUUAAGGAUAGAGUUGUGAGAGCACUUUUCGGUUGAUACAAUCGUGAAAAACUUCAGCACCAUUAUAAGUGUGUAGGUUAGAGACAAGAAUUGCGACGCUCACUGAGAUGCAUCUGGACACGUAAUUUUUACUGCUAAAAACCGGUUGAAUAGGCAAUUUAACUGGCUGUGAAUUUGGUUAGUUUUGGUUUGGUCCUUAUUGGCAAUGUUUUUUUUUUAUGUAUAGUACUUCUUAUCAUUGUGUUAGGUGCUAGUGCGAGGGUCUCCCUGCCUUCGGUAUGCUGUGGAGGUUAACGGAUUGUUGCUCCUGUUUGUGAAAUUCUUUUGAGAGUUUCCGUCUUCAUUUCUGUUAGUAAUAAGCUCAUUUCUAGGUCAUGCUGAUUUGAAGCUGGAGGGUCGGCUGGUUUUUCUGAACGCAUAUUAAUGACCGGGCACUCCAGAGACACGAAUUCCAUGGCAUGUGCUGCUCAUCCUUCGAUUUCCCUGACAUGAAAUGUACAGUCGCAUUGUACACAGCUACGGCACAUGAUUACUUGCAUGUUUGUUCCCUUGUUGUACCCGUUAUCGGAUGACUCCUGAGUUUGCAGGUAGUCCCUAUCUUACUUUUGAAUUUCGGCAUUACGAAGAGGACAAGGUCUUGUUUGCGAAUUAAAUUGAAGUUUUUAUCAAAUACCAACAUAAAGCCGUAUUGUUACGCGUUGUGCAGUGCCAUAUUUGGGCAAGGAUAAAACCCGCAAUCACACAUGAAGAUCAAUCUAUAAAACCAGCUAAGUGAUCCCAUAGAAUGCAGAAAUUACCAGGAUUAUGAACACCAACAGAUACUUCGCCAAAGUAGAAACUAGAGACUUUAACACGCGACAUACGUACUGGGACUUUCUGAAUCCGAAAGACCCACAGCUUAACUUUGUGGAGAACAUCAAUAUCUUUACUAUCACUAUGGAAUCAGUAAUUGUCGCAGCAGCAAAAAUUGUAACACCAAGGAGCACAUACGAAUCGCGAAAUCUACUAGCCUGGCCCGCAAAUAAACACAGCGACACCAUCGACUCUGUCGGACCACCCAGAACUGAACCUACGCGUUGCUCCAUCGCUGUCACGAUCACUGUCGACGUUGCUGCUGCUGGCGUGCCUCGAUGUCAUUGGUAGCUGAUGUUGUUGCUGUAACUUUGCUCCUAAUUGGUCAAUAAAACUGCAUUGUGUUGUUGGUAGAUGCA